rnacentral:misc_RNA from 1 species
ACCCGAGGUGCUGACGGUGCUGCACUGCUGCCUGUUGGCAGGUGCUGGCGGCCCAAAUCUUACAUCACUGGUGCUAACCUCCAAGAACCGAUAAACAGUGGCGAUUUUGUUAAAAAUGACGAAGUGCAUUGAUUCACGAGAAUUGAAAACGAUUAUAAACGAGAAUGACUGGGAUCAGCUGCUAGAAAAGGUCAAACCAAAGCAUUUUGUGAGGCAGGAAUUCGAGGCAAUGCCUGACGCAAGUGUCUUGGCACAGAUGUGUCAAGUGCUCGUAAGCGAAGCUACUCCGGAUACGAUUAGAAUUCUAUGUCUGAAAUGUUUGGGGAAUUCUUGCCUCAAUAGUUACAAAUACAAACGACAUAAGAUGAAAGAAAUAGAGUCUGCUAAAUACAAUAGAAAUUUAUAUAAUAAAUUAGUUGAGAGUGAUUUAUGCAAGCAAGGGGAGAACUGUGAUUACCAGCAUGAUUCUUAUUUUCCUUAUGAUGGAGCUGUAGAGUGGGUUACAGAUUGCAUUAGAAUUCAAGGCAAAUCUCCAGAUUGUUUGACUGACAGCGAAUUGGAUAUCCUUAGGCUCAAUAUCCAAUUUUUAUGUAAUUUAUUUACAUAUGCAUGUCCAAAUGUAGUGGACAGUGAUAUCUGGAGAUAUUUAAAUUGUGAUAACUUGAAACAAGCUAUUCUAAGGUGUAUGCAGUCUGAUCACAGAUCCCUUGCUAGUGCGGCUUGCAUAUAUGCACACAAUGCAUUGAAAACACUAUGUCACAAUUAUUUCGCAAUGGAAGAGAAAGAUUUAUAUUUACAAUUACUAAAACCUGUGAAAGAAGGUUUUACAUCUGCAAAGGAUGCACUGUUACUCAUGUUGCAUCAAUCCAAUGUUUUCAAAGAUAUAUAUAGUAGUAUAACUACAAGUGAAAAGCUAGCUUUACUUGAAAUUAUUUAUGAUGAAAUCUGGCAGUCUUGGCAAUCUGAUCUCAAUAUGGUGCUCACAAAGGAUCAAGCUGAGUUUCUGGCGCUAACAUUUUGCAAAAAGAGUGAUCUCAUUUUAAAAACUGUGGAUACGUACGUAAACAACGUAGAUCCUAUGGAAAUUAUUCUUAUUCUUAAUAUUCUGGGACUUCUUACUACACAAUGCAAUAUCUCGGAGAAUGCUAGAUGUUUGCUUAUUAACUGUAAAUAUCUUUUGAUGUCUUUACAUAUGAUGGGAAAGGAGGCAGACAAUUAUUUUACUCCGAUAACGAAUCUAAGUAAAGUAGCACCUAGUACUCAAGGAAGAGAUACAGAUGUAUGCUCAAAAUCAAAUGAUGCUGAGGUAUCUGCAACAGUAGCAAAGUGUAAUCCUGAGGAACAUCCUGCAUAUGGCUUCAAAGUGGGGCUAAUACGAGUCAUUGCAAAUAUGGUACACAAGAACAAAAUAUGUCAAGAUCUGUUCCGCGAAAUAGACGGAAUUCCAUUGCUUCUGGAUUGUUGUAACAUAGACGCGAGGAAUCCGCUUAUCCUACAAUGGACCAUUCUCGCUUUGAGAAAUCUGUGCGAGGGAAAUCCUGAGAAUCAAGAAAUUAUUAGAAACUGCGAAAAAACAGGCGUGCCAGAUAAUCCCGCGUUGCAGGAGAUGGGAUUGACUCUGCACGAGGACGCGGAUGGGAAGUCGAUUCGUAUCAUUCCUUUGCGUCGCAAUUAGGAAGAUUUACUAUUCUCUAGGACGGCGAGAUUGCCCCGGGCAAUCAAUCAACUCAAUAAUUAUCAAACUAUUACCUUUCGACUGAAAUGUAUCCUGCUGUACCGCUCGCGGAAAAAACGUCGCCGCAAUUACAACGUAUUUGUGCCAUUAGACGAAAUACGAUGUGGUGUACGGUAUAGAGAGAUAUUUUAUCUACAUUCAUGGCCGAGUGAUUUACGAUACAAUAAAAGCUGCUGCGAGAGUUCACGGUCUAUUAGUAAUUGCUAAUGUAAGUAUACUACUGAUAUCGCUGAUCAUUCAAUUGCAAUGUGAAAUGGAUUUUAUUUUCUUUAAAUAAUUAAUAAGCCUUCGACAAGAUUUCAUUAAUGCGCAUGAGAACGAUAAUAAUUUUUAGGCCGGUGUUCUGCAAAUCAAUAAAUAAGUAACGCGAUUAAGCGAAGAGGAAUGCCAUUUUUCAGUCGAAGCGGUUAAUUUUUAGUGCCUAACAAGACUGUGAAUUUUUAAUAUUUUAAUUUUAAUAUUUGUAUGAAUUUUUAUAAUUUCCAGUUUAUGCAAAUUGCGUGCCGAUUGUUUGUCGAUCGUGAAACAUAGUUGUAAAGUUCGUAUGAAGAGUGGAAAUUGUAAAAAUUCGACACAAGUUAGUUCUAAUCUCAUUUAUCAUUGUCGAUAAAUUUGCAAUAAAUAAACGUUUAUAUCCACAUUUUUCUAUUCUCGCCAAAGAUUCCUGUUUAAGAAUUGUAGAACCUGCAAUUACGCUGUCAGGAGACGUGGUGUUUUAAUAAAUAAUUUCUCUAUUAAUUAA